GACCAGUGAUGAAAACAGACGAAUCUGAGCAUCAGAUCUUCCAGUCUACCUGAUGCAUGAUUUUUCUAGUUCUGAGA